rnacentral:rRNA from 1 species
CCUACGGGGGGCAGCAGUAGGGAAUUUUCGUCAAUGGGCGCAAGCCUGAACGAGCAAUGCCGCGUGAACGAGGAAGGUCUUCGGAUCGUAAAGCUCUUUUGAAGGGGAAAAAGAGCGGAGAGAGGAAAUGCUUUCUGAUUGAUAUUACCCUUCGAGGAAGUCACGGCUAACUACGUGCCAGCCGCCGCGGUAAUACGUAGGUGGCGAGCGUUAUCCGGAUUGAUUGGGCGUAAGGGGUGCGUGGGCGGCCUGCGAAGUCUGAAGUGAAAGGUACCGGCUCAACCGGGUCAGGCUUUGGAAACUGGCGUGCUAGAGAGCAGGAGAGGUCGGUGGAACUCCAUGUGUAGCGGUAAAAUGCGUAGAUAUAUGGAAGAACACCAGUGGCGAAGGCGGCCGCCUGGCCUGUUACUGACGCUGAGGCACGAAAGCGUGGGGAGCAAAUAGGAUUAGAUACCCGAGUAGUC